rnacentral:rRNA from 1 species
UACAGAGGGUACAAGCGUUGUUCGGAAUUACUGGGCGUAAAGCGCGUGUAGGCGGUCUGCUAAGUCGGGUGUGAAAGCCCUGGGCUCAACCCAGGAAGUGCACUCGAAACUGGCAGGCUAGAGUACUGGAGAGGUUGGUGGAAUUCUCGGUGUAGAGGUGAAAUUCGUAGAUAUCGAGAGGAACACCGGUGGCGAAGGCGGCCAACUGGACAGAUACUGACGCUGAGACUCGAAAGCGUGGGGAGCAAACAGG